rnacentral:rRNA from 1 species
ACUCCUACGGGAGGCAGCAGUGGGGAAUCUUAGACAAUGGGCGAAAGCCUGAUCUAGCGAUGCCGCGUGAGUGACGAAGGCCUUAGGGUCGUAAAGCUCUUUCGCCAGGGAUGAUAAUGACAGUACCUGGUAAAGAAACCCCGGCUAACUCCGUGCCAGCAGCCGCGGUAAUACGGAGGGGGUUAGCGUUGUUCGGAAUUACUGGGGCGUAAAGCGCACGUAGGCGGAUUGGAAAGUUGGGGGUGAAAUCCCGGGGCUCAACCCCGGAACUGCCUCCAAAACUAUCAGUCUAGAGUUCGAGAGAGGUGAGUGGAAUUCCGAGUGUAGAGGUGAAAUUCGUAGAUAUUCGGAGGAACACCAGUGGCGAAGGCGGCUCACUGGCUCGAUACUGACGCUGAGGUGCGAAAGUGUGGGGAGCAAACAGGAUUAGAUACCCUGGUAGGAUAGCG